GACGCCGUUCUUCUCUCGGGCGGAAACACGAAGAAGCUAGGGUUUCGUCUCGGUGGCCGGUCAAGGGUUUGAUCCAAGAGGUUCUUCCCGUCUUCACGAACCCUCGUCGAAGGGAGCACGGAGGAUGCAAGGAGCCGCUGGAAUUUGAGUUACCCGAACCCUAGAUCCCUCCUUCUCCGGUUGUAAGUCCAAGAACAGCGAGAUAAAGGGAAAGAAAAGAUACAGUGAAGGAAGGCGA